CGCGGCGCGCCUCCAUCCUCUCAGCAAUCGCCACCGUCAAGCACCCAGCUCGUGACCGGUGUUUCCACAGCACAGAGACGCGCUUCAGACCUUCGAUGUCGACCAUUUUUACUAUUGUGCUACGAGGCAUGGACCGGUCAGAAGAAACGGUUCUUACUUUGAUCGACCUGAGUCGCUGUUUCGACGCACUGGACCACUCAAUGUUGCUGACGAGGCCGCGGAAGCUCCAAGUAUCUACAGACUGCAUCCAAAGUUACCCGAGGUUACACAUACAGCAUGUGAGGAUGGAUCCGACGCUGUCUGGCCCAAAAUAGUAUCACCAUUGGCACGUUCCCGGGGUCUUGCCUCAGGCCAUUCCAGUACAACAUCUUAAGCAACCACAUCGCGUGCUUCACAAACGGCUUCCGUGUCACGAUAAUUCGGUAUGCUGACGACGCACAGCUGGCCGUUACAGGCCCUCGAGGCAGAUCAGAGGAGAUGCGGCAGUCGCUGGAGUCACUGCUGGACGUAGCGUGCACGCGGUAUUUGCAGCAUGGGAUGCUGUUAAAGGCCGCCAAAACCGAGCUGUUGUUAUGUGGCGACCGCCGACAGCUUAGCCAAAUCUGAGAGCUUCCGUCCGUAGCGUUCACUGAUGGUGUGUUACAGGAAAAUUCAAAUAAGAUAAUUUUCAUGCAUGAAUUUAAGUUACCUAAAAGUAAGUUUGAUAUGCUCAUUGGGGAUACGUGGACGCGCAUUGUGUCAGUAUGAGCAUCAAUAUAU